GCAUAUCAAUAAGCGGAGGAAAAGAAACUAACAAGGAUUCCCCUAGUAGCGGCGAGCGAAGCGGGAAGAGCUCAAAUUUAUAAUCUGGCACUUUCAGUGUCCGAGUUGUAAUCUCUAGAAGUGUUUUCCGCGUUGGACCGCACACAAGUCUGUUGGAAUACAGCGGCACAGUGGUGACACCCCCCGUACACGGUGCGGACGCCCAGCGCUUUGUGAUACACUUUCGAAGAGUCGAGUUGUUUGGGAAUGCAGCUCAAAUUGGGUGGUAAAUUCCAUCUAAAGCUAAAUAUUGGCGAGAGACCGAUAGCGAACAAGUACCGUGAGGGAAAGAUGAAAAGCACUUUGGAAAGAGAGUUAACAGUACGUGAAAUUGUUGGAAGGGAAACGCUUGAAGUCAGACUUGCUUGCCGGAGCUUGCUUCGGUUUGCAGGCCAGCAUCAGUUUUCCGGGGUGGAUAAUGGCGGUUAGAAGGUAGCAGCUUCAGCUGUGUUAUAGCUUUCCGCUGGAUACAUCCUGGGGGACUGAGGAACGCAGCGUGCUUUUAGCGGGGGUUUCGACCUCUUCACGCUUAGGAUGCUGGUGUAAUGGCUUUAAACGACCCGUCUUGAAACACGGACC
rnacentral:rRNA from 1 species